rnacentral:rRNA from 1 species
AUGAACGCUAGCGGCAGGCUUAACACAUGCAAGUCGAGGGGCAGCGGGGAGUAGCAAUACUCCGCCGGCGACCGGCGCACGGGUGCGUAACGCGUAUGCAACCUACCUUUAACAGGGGCAUAACACUGAGAAAUUGGUACUAAUUCCCCAUAACAUUCGAGAAGGCAUCUUCUUGGGUUAAAAACUCCGGUGGUUAAAGAUGGGCAUGCGUUGUAUUAGCUAGUUGGUGAGGUAACGGCUCACCAAGGCAACGAUACAUAGGGGGACUGAGAGGUUAACCCCCCACAUUGGUACUGAGACACGGACCAAACUCCUACGGGAGGCAGCAGUGAGGAAUAUUGGUCAAUGGACGCAAGUCUGAACCAGCCAUGCCGCGUGCAGGAAGACGGCUCUAUGAGUUGUAAACUGCUUUUGUACUAGGGUAAACGCUUCUACGUGUAGGAGCCUGAAAGUAUAGUACGAAUAAGGAUCGGCUAACUCCGUGCCAGCAGCCGCGGUAAUACGGAGGAUCCAAGCGUUAUCCGGAUUUAUUGGGUUUAAAGGGUGCGUAGGCGGUUUGAUAAGUUAGAGGUGAAAUACCGGGGCUCAACUCCGGAACUGCCUCUAAUACUGUUGAACUAGAGAGUAGUUGCGGUAGGCGGAAUGUAUGGUGUAGCGGUGAAAUGCUUAGAGAUCAUACAGAACACCGAUUGCGAAGGCAGCUUACCAAACUAUAUCUGACGUUGAGGCACGAAAGCGUGGGGAGCAAACAGGAUUAGAUACCCUGGUAGUCCACGCAGUAAACGAUGAUAACUCGUUGUCGGCGAUACACAGUCGGUGACUAAGCGAAAGCGAUAAGUUAUCCACCUGGGGAGUACGUUCGCAAGAAUGAAACUCAAAGGAAUUGACGGGGGCCCGCACAAGCGGUGGAGCAUGUGGUUUAAUUCGAAGCAACGCGAAGAACCUUACCAAGUCUUGACAUCCUCUUGACCGGUCAGUAAUGUGGCCUUUUCUUCGGAACAAGAGUGACAGGUGGUGCAUGGUUGUCGUCAGCUCGUGUCGUGAGAUGUUGGGUUAAGUCCCGCAACGAGCGCAACCCUUAUCCUCAGUAGCCAGCAGUAAGAUGGGCACUCUGUGGAGACUGCCAGGGAUAACCUGGAGGAAGGUGGGGAUGACGUCAAAUCAUCAUGCCCCUUAUGAUUUGGGCUACACACGUGCUACAAUGGACAGAGCAGAGGGAAGCGAAGCCGCGAGGUGGAGCGAAACCCAUAAAACUGUUCUCAGUUCGGACUGCAGUCUGCAACUCGACUGCACGAAGAUGGAAUCGCUAGUAAUCGCGAAUCAGCAUGUCGCGGUGAAUACGUUCUCGGGCCUUGUACACACCGCCCGUCACACCAUGGGAGUCGAAAAUGCCCGAAGUCGGUGACCUAACGUAAGAAGGAGCCGCCGAAGGCAGGUCUGAUAACUGGGGUG